CCCAAAUCCUCCCAGUCAGGAUUCACCACUGAACACAGGACAGUCACCAUGGACUUAGGGCUCAUAUUGGUUUUCUCUGUCCUGACUUUAAAAGGUGUUCAUUGUGAGGUGCAAUUGCUGGAAUCUGGGGGAGGCUCAGUGCAGCCUGGAAAGACCCUGAAACUCUCCUGUGCAGCCUCUGGAUUCACCUUCAGUAGUUAUGCAAUGAGCUGGGUCCGCCAGGCUCCAGAGAAGGGGUUGGAGUGGGUCGCAACCAUUGAUAGUGUUGGUAGCACCUGGUAUACUGACGCUGUGAAGGGCCGGUUCACAAUCUCCAGAGACAAUGCCAAGAACAUUCUGUACCUGGAAAUGAGCAGUCUAAGGUCUGAGGACACAGCCAUGUAUUACUGUGCAAGAUCAUAUAAUUCCGCCUUCUGGACAGAAGUAUACGGACUUUGUUCCACCUUAUCCAAG